rnacentral:misc_RNA from 1 species
GAUGAAGAACGCAGUGAAAUGCGAUAAUUAAUGUGAAUUGCAGAAUUCAGUGAAUCAUCGAGUCUUUGAACGCACAUUGCGCCCCCUGGUAUUCCGGGGGGCAUGCCUGUCCGAGCGUCAUUGCUGCCCUCAAGCCCGGCUUGUGUGUUGGGCCCUGCUCCCCCGGGGGCAGGCCCGAAAGGCAGUGGCGGCACCGCGUCCGAUCCUCGAGCGUAUGGGGCUUUGUCACCCGCUCUGUAGGCCCGGCCGGCGCUUGCCGACCCCCAUCAAUCUUUUUUCAGGUUGACCUCGGAUCAGGUAGGGAUACCCGCUGAACUUAAGCAUAUCAAUAAGCGGAGGA